UACGUAGGGGGCAAGCGUUGUCCGGAAUCAUUGGGCGUAAAGCGCGUGUAGGCGGCCUUGUAAGUCCGUUCUGAAAGCCCGGGGCUCAACCCCGGGAGGCGGAUGGAUACUGCAAGGCUCGAGUACGGAAGAGGCGAGUGGAAUUCCCGGUGUAGCGGUGAAAUGCGCAGAUAUCGGGAGGAACACCAAUUGCGAAGGCAGCUCGCUGGGACGUUACUGACGCUGAGACGCGAAAGCGUGGGGAGCAAACAGG
rnacentral:rRNA from 1 species